UACAGGGGGGGCAAGCGUUGUUCGGAAUUACUGGGCGUAAAGGGCUUGUAGGUGGCCAACUAAGUCAGACGUGAAAUCCCUCAGCUUAACUGGGGAACUGCGUCUGAUACUGGAUGGCUAGAGUUUGGGAGGGGGAUGCGGAAUUCCAGGUGUAGCGGUGAAAUGCGUAGAUAUCUGGAGGAACACCGGUGGCGAAGGCGGCAUCCUGGACCAACACUGACACUGAGGAGCGAAAGCGUGGGGAGCAAACAGG
rnacentral:rRNA from 1 species